rnacentral:rRNA from 1 species
CCUACGGGUGGCAGCAGUAGGGAAUCUUCCACAAUGGGCGAAAGCCUGAUGGAGCAACGCCGCGUGGGUGAAGAAGGUCUUCGGAUCGUAAAACCCUGUUGUUAGAGAAGAAAGUGCGUGAGAGUAACUGUUCACGUUUCGACGGUAUCUAACCAGAAAGCCACGGCUAACGACGUGCCAGCAGCCGCGGUAAUACGUAGGUGGCAUGCGUUAUCCGGAUUUAUUGGGCGUAAGGGGAAAGCAGAUGGUCUGUUAAGUCGGAUGUGAAAGCCUUCGGCUUAACCGGAGUAGUGCAUUGGAGACUGGGAGACUUGAGUACAGAAGAGGUGGGUGGAACUCGAGGUGUAGCGGUGAAAUGCUUAGAUAUAUGGAAGAACACCAGUGGCGAAGGCAGCUCUCUGGUCUGUCACUGACACUGAGGUUCGAAAGCGUGGGUAGCAAACAGGAUUAGAUACCCCGGUAGUC